ACCAACACCAUCAGCAAGCAACUCCGUUGAAGGGAUCUGAGAUCCAAUGUGGAAAUGCAGCAGCUGAAGACAAUCUAACAUUCCGGAUUCUUUCAGUUUCCUCACCACACGAAGGAUCUGAGUUGUUGUAAGCCCAAACUUGCCUUUCUCUCCAGAAGUGGAUCCAAAAUGACCGGAAUGUUUGGUCCUAAGCUUAGCCCGGAGCCCAAUUACAGGCUGGACCGCCAUUUUACGGCUGAUGUCAAUCACCAAAUCAAGCUCCUCCUCUUGUUCGAGCACAAUCACCGUGUUCAAUUGGAGCUUUCUUGCAACCAAAGCAAGUGAAAUGUAUUCUGCAUCCUUGAAUCCGUUGCAUACAAGAAGACCCUCCGAGCUGCCCUUGCAUAGAGAGCUCAUGGCCAGGAGGAGCUCAGGUUUUGACCCAGCUUCAAGACCAAACCGGAAACCCGUCCCGAAUUUGACAAUAUCUUCAACAACGAACCUGUCCUGAUUGCAUUUUACAGGAUAAACACCUUGGUAAUGAGCCUCAUAUCCUUCAGAUUGAACAGCAUAAUCAAAAGCCGAUUGAAGAGACUCCAAUCGGUUCUUCAAAACAUCAGGAAACCGAACAACGAGUGGAAGCUGUAACCCGAGCCCACCAGAAUUAAUCGGGUCGGAAGCCUUUUUCACGACCUUCAGGAGAUCAAUUUCUUGGUGAGGAAGGGUAUCUGUACCAUGGGGCCUGACAGAUAUAUCACCGGAAGAAUUAACGGUGAAAUACGGAGCACCCCAACCAUCAAUACGAUACAGAUCAGAUGACAGCUCCGGUGACCAAUGGGUGGUAAGAGGGACAGCGUUUGUCGACGGAGGUACGCCGGAGGAAAAAAUCUCCGGCGUGGAAAGGAAGGAAUAGCCAAGAGGAGGGGAAACAGCAGAUUCUACACAACAACCUAAAGCAGGCAUCUCGUAAAAUCUUCACAAAAAAAAAAGAAUCAAAGAAUGUGUAAAACUAAUUAUACAGAAAUGAUUUGUUGACCAAUGUUGUAAUAGCUGGGGGCUUUAGAACCCGCCGAGGCCAGAGCCCCGGCUACCCCCUCAAAAGA
rnacentral:misc_RNA from 1 species